GCACCAACUGGGGCAGAGCUCAAAGUUGCUCACAGCUUGACCCUAUUCACACUGAAAACUACAAUAGUUUUCAAACCAGAAAAGAAAACAGCCAGGUGGUCUGAAGAAGGGGUUGAAAGUGCUUUUAUUCACAUGAUACUUUUUUUUUUGGUACCAGGGAUCAAACUCGGGACCUUGCACUUGCGAGGCAGGCGGCAGCACCACUGAGGGAUCGAACUCAGGACCCUGCACUUGCAAGGCAGUCUCGGUGCCACUGAGCUAAAUCCCAGGCCUAACAAACCAAUUUUAUGAGUUCUGAGGAUCGAACCCAGGGCUGUGGCUGGAACUCGCCGUCUUUUUACUUCAGCCUCCUAGAGUGCUGGGAUCACAGGUGUGCACCACCAUACCAGGCAGAAACCAGGAUCCUGCAUGUGCUGGGCAAGCACCCUACGCCUAAACUGUACCCUCAGCUCUACCAAGAUAUUAUUGAAAAAGAGAACUACAACAAAGAAGGACUUGCACUGCCAAAUAUUUAAAUGUACUUUAAUGAAAUUUUGAGUGCCAUAAAAAACAAACAAGUCAGCUGGGCAUGGUAGCACAUGCCUGCAAUCCCAGCACUUGGGAGGCAGAGGCAGGAGGAUUGCCAUGAGUUUGAGGCCAGCCUGGGCUACAUGGUGAGUUCAAGGCCAACCUGAACUACAUGGUGAAACCCUGUCUCAAAAACAAAAACAAAAGAACAAAGAAGCCACUUAACAGAAUAAAAUCUAAAAUGAAAUCUGCAUUUAGAUAGAUUUAGAAUAUAAUUAAGAUGGCAGUUCAAAUGGUUGGGGACAGUAUGACUUAUUCAAUAGAUGUUGGACAAUUGCUGACUAUUUAUUAAAAAAAUAAACUUAGAUCCCUUACUUUAUACCAUGUAUCAACUUACUUAUUUUAUUUUAUUUUUUUAGGUUUUUGAGACAGGGUCUCACUAUGUAGUUCAGGCUGGCCUUGAACUCACUAUGUAGCCUGCCUCACCCUUCAGAGCACUGGGAUUACAGGUGUGGGCCACCAUGCCCGGCUUCCAUGUAUCAAUUUAAUUCAUACUAUGAAUUAAUUUAAUUCAUUAAAUUUAAUUAAAACAGUGAAAAAAUAUUUUUGACAUGAGAGACGGUCAUAGUACACUCCCCCCCUCAG